rfam:Mus musculus chromosome 13, GRC primary reference assembly.
CCAAAGGCUCUUUUCAGAGCCACACACAAAGUCCAGAAAGAAGCUG